GUCAGAUUGAAAAUGAAAAAUAAUAUUGUGAUAAAUUAUACACUAAAAUAUUUGAGGACUACUGAAGCCAGCAAAACUGAAGCAAGCUGUAAAGACGGGAAAACAUUCCUACCAACUGGAGCUUUCAUUGGAGUGAUGGGAGGAUGGUCCCCUGCAUCAUGGCCUUUCCUUGGACGAUUGAUGCCUUCUGAUAGCAAUGCUUUCACCUGGGUGAAGGAAAAG
rnacentral:lncRNA from 1 species